AGCGAACGCUGGCGGCAGGCUUAACACAUGCAAGUCGAGCGGCCGUAGCAAUACGGCAGCGGCAGACGGGAGAGUAACACGUGGGAACGUACCCUUCAGUACGGAACAACCAAGGGAAACUUUGGCUAAUACCGUAUACGUCCGUAAGGAGAAAGAUUUAUCGCUGAAGGAUCGGCCCGCGUCCGAUUAGCUAGUUGGUGAGGUAACGGCUCACCAAGGCGACGAUCAGUAGCUGGUCUGAGAGGAUGAUCAGCCUCACUGGGACUGAGACACGGCCCAGACUCUUACGGGAGGCAGCAGUGGGGAAUAUUGGACAAUGGGCGCAAGCCUGAUCCAGCCAUGCCGCGUGGAUGAUGAAGGCCCUAGGGUUGUAAAGUCCUUUUAACGGGGAAGAUAAUGACGGUACCCGUAGAAUAAGCCCCGGCUAACUUCGUGCCAGCCGCCGCCGUAA
rnacentral:rRNA from 1 species